rnacentral:rRNA from 1 species
UACGUAGGGUGCAAGCGUUAAUCGGAAUUACUGGGCGUAAAGCGUGCGCAGGCGGUUUUGUAAGUCUGACGUGAAAUCCCCCGGGCUCAACCUGGGAAUUGCGUUGGAGACUGCAAGGCUGGAGUCUGGCAGAGGGGGGGUAGAAUUCCACGUGUAGCAGUGAAAUGCGUAGAGAUGUGGAGGAACACCGAUGGCGAAGGGCAGCCCCCCUGGGUCAAGACUGACGCUCAUG